UACGAAGGGGGCUAGCGUUGUUCGGAUUUACUGGGCGUAAAGCGCACGUAGGCGGAUCGUUAAGUCGGGGGUGAAAUCCUGGAGCUCAACUCCAGAACUGCCUUCGAUACUGGCGAUCUUGAGUCCGGAAGAGGUGAGUGGAACUCCUAGUGUAGAGGUGGAAUUCGUAGAUAUUGGGAAGAACACCAGUGGCGAAGGCGGCUAACUGGUCCAGAUCUGACGCUGAGACGCGAAAGCGUGGGGAGCAAACAGG
rnacentral:rRNA from 1 species